AUUUUUAAUAACAAAUGUAAAUAUUAAUCAAAGAAUGUGUCAUCCUUUUAACUGACCACAGAUGAAAUUAAGUUUUGAUAGGUAACAGGCUGAAAUAAUAAAUAUGUGUAGGUUAAUCAUCAAAUCAUAAACUAAUGAUACAUAUUUGUGAACACACAGAAAUACUCUAUAACAGAUUGAGAAAUAACCAACUUGCAUAUGAUUUAGAAAAAUACCUUUACAUAUGAAAAGAAAAUACAUUUAAUUUCUAGAAGAAAUCAAUCAAAAUAACACUAUUAAAAUUUGGGGCAUCCUCAUGCUUUUCGGGAUUUACCUUAAUCAGGAACACUCUGACCAAAACAUUUGAAAGCAAAGGAUGUAUGAAUACUUGAAUAUGUGAGGAGAUACAUAUGUUUGCUAUAAAAAAAAAACCAGCAAAAUUUAUCAAAGGUCAACUUUACCUGAAAGAAUUGGUACCUUAGUUACUAAAUAAUUUUUGAAUUUUUAUCAACAAAUAAUUCAAAG
rnacentral:lncRNA from 1 species